GAAGAGGGAAUUGGACUGGGGAAAACAGAACAGAAGAGAGGCGGCUUCCGGGUGGAUCAUCCUUGCGGCCGGGUCUCCAGGUUUGACUUAAGCCGCCAUUGAAGCAUGACUCUGUGCUAGCAAAAGCCAAGAAGAACCUCUGGAGCCAUCGCAGUGAGGGUUGGUGCUCUACAGCAGCAGCCAGAGAGGUGAAGUGAUAGGGUACUGGCCUGGGACUUGAGAUGCAGGCUCCUGGGUCACCAUCCAGCAGGGUGAGUCCAUUGGCUGCAGUUUCUUCACCUGCAGGAGGUAGAUUGGUUUCAAGGUCUAGAAUCUCAUGUCAGCCUUUCCUGGAGCUCUUUGAAUGUAAACAAGAUAUUCAUGACCACUUCAAAUAUUUAUUGCUAUGUCUGGUCUUAGCCCCUGGCCUAUGAGACCGAAGUGCAGAUGUCUGUCUUCCUGCACAGACCUUGAUUCAAACACUCAUUCAUCAACCCAUUCAUUCAUCUGUCUUCCUGCAUGGAUUCUGCUUCAAUCACUCACUUGCUCAAUAUACAUUUACGUGCCAGCUUUAUGGUGGGCACUUUGUAUAUAGUAAUAAGCCAGAUGGUCAUUGGCUCUGUCUCUUGGCAACCAGCAUCUCUUAAACUACAAUGCAAAUGCACAAAGAACCCAACCGAAUACGUACUCAAGAAUCUGUCACAGGCAUUCUGAAGAGAAGCCAUGAACGUUAGUUGGUAAGCUACUGGGAGAUUUAUGACUUCUGUAAAUUGGAAAGGAACAGCCUCUGGAAGAAAAGGUGCUGAAGCAGGCAGGUCCAAGCCUGCACAAAGUGAGCAUUGCCGAGAGACCUUGUUCGGGUUUAAAGACAGAAUGUAUAGUUAACACUGUAUAGUCCUACCAUAAAUGUCAAAACUUGAACCUUUUCCUUAAAAGUAAAACAAAAAUGAAAGCCAAAUCAUGUAUAAAAAUUGAGAAAAUAAACAUGUUAUUGU
rnacentral:lncRNA from 1 species